rnacentral:rRNA from 1 species
UAGGGAAUCUUGCGCAAUGGGCGAAAGCCUGACGCAGCCAUGCCGCGUGAAUGAUGAGGGUCUUAGGAUUGUAAAAUUCUUUCACCGGGGAAGAUAAUGACGGUACCCGGAGAAGAAGCCCCGGCUAACUUCGUGCCAGCAGCCGCGGUAAUACGAAGGGGGCUAGCGUUGCUCGGAAUUACUGGGCGUAAAGGGCGCGUAGGCGGACAUUUAAGUUAGAGGUGAAAGCCCAGGGCUCAACCCUGGAAUAGCCUUUAAUACUGGAUGUCUUGAGUUCGGGAGAGGUGAGUGGAAUGCCGAGUGUAGAGGUGAAAUUCGUAGAUAUUCGGCGGAACACCAGUGGCGAAGGCGACUCACUGGCCCGAUACUGACGCUGAGGCGCGAAAGCGUGGGGAGCAAACAG